rnacentral:rRNA from 1 species
UACGGGGGGGGCAAGCGUUGUUCGGAAUUACUGGGCGUAAAGGGUUCGUAGGUGGCCGACUAAGUCAAACGUGAAAUCCCUCGGCUCAACUGAGGACGUGCGGAAGAAACUGCAGGGCUGGAGUCCGGGAGAGGAGGGUGGAAUUCCCAGUGUAGCGGUGAAAUGCGUAGAUAUUGGGAGGAACACCGGUGGCGAAGGCGGCCCUCUGGACCGGUACUGACGCUGAUGCGCGAAAGCGUGGGGAGCAAACGGG